rfam:Triticum aestivum genome assembly, contig: Triticum_aestivum_CS42_TGACv1_scaffold_288885_4AL
CUCUUACUCCCUCCAUCGUGAAAUACUUUUCAUUGAAAUGGAUGUAUCUAAAUGUAUUUUAGUUCUAAAUACAUUCAUUUUCAUCCAUUUUGAUGACAAGUAAUUCCGGACGGAGGGAGUAUUUG